rnacentral:rRNA from 1 species
CAGUAGCCGCGGUAAUACGAAGGGUGCAAGCGUUAAUCGGAAUUACUGGGCGUAAAGCGUGCGUAGGCGGUGAGUUAAGUCUGCUGUGAAAUCCCCGGGCUCAGCCUGGGAAUGGCAGUGGAUACUGGCUCGCUAGAGUGUGUCAGAGGAUGGUGGAAUUCCCGGUGUAGCGGUGAAAUGCGUAGAAGUCGGGAGGAACAUCAGUGGCGAAGGCGGCCAUCUGGGACAACACUGACGCUGAGGCACGAAAGCGUGGGGAGCAAACAGGAUUAGAUACCCCCGUAGUCCCUGUCCUUAUACA